rnacentral:tRNA from 1 species
AAAGAUUUAGUUAAAAAAUAACAAUAAAAUGUCAACUUAUAAUUAUUAAUAUAUUAAUAAUCUUUA